GACGAACGCGGGCGGCGUGCCUAAUACAUGCAAGUAGAACGCUGAAGGAGGAGCUUGCUUCUCCGGAUGAGUUGCGAACGGGUGAGUAACGCGUAGGUAACCUGCCUGGUAGCGGGGGAUAACUAUUGGAAACGAUAGCUAAUACCGCAUAAGAGUAGAUGUUGCAUGACAUUUGCUUAAAAGGUGCAAUUGCAUCACUACCAGAUGGACCUGCGUUGUAUUAGCUAGUUGGUGGGGUAACGGCUCACCAAGGCGACGAUACAUAGCCGACCUGAGAGGGUGAUCGGCCACACUGGGACUGAGACACGGCCCAGACUCCUACGGGAGGCAGCAGUAGGGAAUCUUCGGCAAUGGACGGAAGUCUGACCGAGCAACGCCGCGUGAGUGAAGAAGGUUUUCGGAUCGUAAAGCUCUGUUGUAAGAGAAGAACGAGUGUGAGAGUGGAAAGUUCACA
rnacentral:rRNA from 1 species